rnacentral:lncRNA from 1 species
AUUCUGGUUACAGGAAAUUCUGGAAGGAUAGGACAGUGAAGGGGCCUUAUUAAAGUAUAACCCUUUUCUGUAAAUCAAUGGUCAAGUCGGCUCAACAAAGCUUUCCUUUACUAGCUUGAGUGGAAAUAAUUACAGAAGAUCGGAAUGCAUUUUUUUAGGUCUUCUUUUGUGGAGGAGAUCCGACAAGUUCGGAGUCACCAAGAAAAUCGAAUGUUGAGGAAAGAGAUGGAAUAAAGAAGUUUUUGGGGCAGAGGAAGGCACAGUUUAGAUCGGAGCGGAGCUGGAACGGAUUGAACAAACUAUGCCAGAUAAUGGUGGGGCACCGGCCGCGAGAGAUAUGGAGAAAACUCUAUGAAUUUCACAAUUUAUUGGCCGAUGAGGAGACCGAUAAGUUGUAUUUGAACCGGGGAACAACAACUGAUAGCAGGAAUUAUCUAAUGCUAUGCAAAUAUGACUUCUAGUUGAUCUUGGAUGCUAGCUCACCCAUCCGCCGCUUUUUUGCAUCCCUACAAUAGUUGGGGAGUAGUGAAUGCAAAGGGUAAAGCCUAUCAACUGUUGGUGUAAUUUCUUGCUUUGACAUCUACCCUUUCUUAAAUAGAUAGAAGUCAUAACAAGGUAGCCAAUUCUUGGUUGGAUUGAAUCCUUUGCUUUUCAGGACUGUAAGUCCUCAAAAGCCUCUUUUAGCUGAGGUUGCCUGUCAUUGCGGACUUCUCAUGGCACAUGGUAUGAUUGAACCAUCAUAAAUGAAAAGAGCAUAUCACACCGGUAUAUGUAAGGUAUAUAUCACUUCAAUGUUUUCAAUAAAACCUAUUACACCAGCUUCUAGAUCGAAUAAGGAUUACUCCCGUGGCCUCUCGGUAAACGAAAGUAAGGGUUCCGUCUUGGUGAAGCGACAUUUUUCGGGAGGGGGCUUGUCGAAGGAAGAACCGGAUCUAGCUUUGGGAGAUUAGCUUCCGCUGAGUAGGAAGACUCCCAUCAGCACCAAGCAAAGAAGCCUUAUCCCACAGGGAGACUGGAAACGAUCUAAUCUCGUCAAGUGGGCUUCUUACCUCUAUUUGCUCUGGGAAAGGAGAGAAUAGUCGCCCCAGAGAAGCCAUACCCUAAGGAAGCUUCACUUUCCUAUCUCUCUCUCUGACCUACUUAGCAUAGCAUAUUUACAUGGACCGCUCCACCCCAUUGACAUCGCCUGAAGUAGCCUAUUCGCACUAGUGGAACUACCACCGGGAGCUAACUCAGUUGCCAAUAAACAAGUACUUUUUCAAUACUGUCUUGCUCCUCGCAUA